rnacentral:piRNA from 1 species
UUCAAUCAGAUGCUUAAUAGAGACGGUGGU